UUGGACGUGUUCUCGUUUCUCAUUGGCUUUGUUCUCUCAAAGCGGCAGGCAGCGCCGGGCUCCUAUUGGCUAGUUGAGUUGUAGCUCAAAGAUUUCGAUUGGAGGAAAAGGAACGUCAGUUAAAACAAGGAAAGGAACAGCCGUGAUGGGACUGCAGCGCUUAGCUUAGCUUAGCCUAGCUUAGCUUAGCUCUCUGGACCUUUUAACUUUAGUUUUUCCAGUUUAAACUUUUUAAAUAUUUUUAUUUUAUGAUGUUUGUGUGAAACCGAAGCAGAAACGAUGCAGUUUUUGUUUCUCUUCGUUCAGAAACAACAGAUCGACGCAAUUAUGUACAAGAAGACCAGCAUUAAUCUGUCCAAAGAUCUGAAAAUAUGGGACUCAUUGGAAGGAGUUCCUGACUGACGCUCUGCCAGUGAAGCUGAUGGGGAUGAAGAGUUACAUCGAGUUCGUGGCUGAUCGGCCGCUGCUGGAGCUUCUCUAAGGUGUACCUGUUGGAGAACAUUUCUCUGGAGGAAGACCAGCUUCGUUGAGAAGCGGGUCGGGGAGUACCACAGGAUGGGCGUCAUGGCAACCCACAGAGAAAUCCUUCAGACCGGAUGCUGACUUCCAACCUC